CCCUGGUUUGCAUUUUACCCUCGGAUGAAGC
rnacentral:piRNA from 1 species